AGUUGAUCCUGGCUCAGGAUGAACGCUGGUGGCAUGGUUAACACAUGUAAGGCGCACGUGAUUUGGUUUAUUUAAGUGAUAGACGGGUGAGUAAUGCGUAAGAACUUUACUUUUUGGAGGGGAAUAAUAAAUAAAAACUAUUGCUAAUACCCCCAAGGCUGAGGAGCAAAAGGAGGAAUUCGCUCAUUGAAGGGGCUUUCGUCCGAUUAGUUAGUUAGUGAGGCAAUAACUUACCAAGACAAUGAUCGGUAGUUGGUCUGAGAAGAUGAUCAGCCACAUUGGGACUGAAAAACGGCCCAGACUCCUACGGGAGGCAGCAGUGAGGAAUUUUCCGCAAUGGACGAUAGCCUGACGGAGCAAUGUCGUAUGGGGGACUAAGGCCUUCGGGUCAUUAACAUCUUUUCUCAGAGAAUAAUAAAUGAAGGUAUUUGAGGAAUAAGCAUUUAUAGGUGGUUUUUUAAGUCUGAUGUUAAGAUAGAGGAUGCAAGUGUUAUCCGGAAUUAUUGGGCGUAAAGCGUUUAUAGGUGGUUUUUUAAGUCUUAUGUUAAAUACUAGGGCUUAACCUUAGUUUAAGCGGUUGAAACUAUUUAGCUUGGAGUACAGAUAGGGGCAGAGGGAAUAUCCGGUGUAGCGAUGAAAUGCGUAGAGAUCGGAGAGAACACCAAUGGCGAAAGCACUCUACUGGGACAAAACUCAUAUUGAGAGAUGAAAGCUAAGGUAGCAAAUGGGAUUAGAUACCACAGUAGUCUUAACCAUAAACGAUGGAUACCAAGUAUUGUGCGUAUCGACCCGUGCAGUGCUAUAGUUAACACGUUAAGUAUCCCGCCUGGAGAGUAUGUUCGCAAGAAUGAAACUCAAAUGAAUUGAUGGGGGCCCGCACAAGCGGUGGAGCAUGUGGUUUAAUUCGAUGCAAAGCGAAGAACCUUACCAGGGCUUGACAUACUAUGAAUCCUCUUGAAAGAGUGGAGUGCUCUAGGGAGCAUGGACACAAGUGGUGCAUGGCUGUUGUCAGCUCAUGCCGUAAGGUGUUAGGUUAAGUCCUGUACCGAGCGCAACCCUCAUGUUUAGUUGGUGGAACUCUAAACAUACUGCCGGCGUUAAGCCGGAUGAAGAUGAGAAUGACGUCAAGUCAUCAUGCCCCUUAUGCCCUGGGCGACACACGUGCUACAAUGGUCGGGACAAAAGUUACAAUUCCACAAGGAUGAGCUAACAUCAACACAAAAAUUCGGCCUCAGUUCAAAUUGCAGGCUGCAACUCGCUUGCAUGAAGUUAGAAUCUCUAGUAAUCGUCGGUUAUCCAUACGGCGGUGAAUAUGUUCCCGGGCCUUGAACACACUACCCGUCACGCUAUGAGAGCUGGCCAUACCCGAAGAGUUCACAUCGACGAGAAGGUUUGGCACCUCGAUGUCGGCUCUUCGUCACCUGGGGCUGUAGUAGGUUCCAAGGGUUGGGUUGUUCGCCCAUUAAAGUG
rnacentral:rRNA from 1 species